CACGCCUGGGACAUGCAAGUCGAACGAUGGUCUUCGGAUCAUAGUGGCGCACGGGUGCGUAACGCGUGGGAAUCUGCCCUGGGGUCUGGGAUAACCGUUGGAAACGACGGCUAAUACCGGAUGAUGAUGAAAGUCCAAAGAUUUAUCGCCCUGGGAUGAGCCCGCGUCGGAUGAGCUAGUUGGUGGGGUAGACGCCUACCAAGGCGACGAUCCGUAGCUGGUCUGAGAGGAUGAUCAGCCACACUGGGACUGAGACACGGCCCAGACUCCUACGGGAGGCAACAGUGGGGAAUAUUGGACAAUGGGCGCAAGCCUGAUCCAGCAAUGCCGUGUGAGUGAUGAACGCCUUAGGGUUGUAGAGCUCUUUUACCCGGGAUGAUAAUGACAGUACCGGGAGAAUAAGCCCCGGCUAACUCCGUGCCAGCAGCCGCGGUAAU
rnacentral:rRNA from 1 species